UUUUUUUGUUUUUUCAUGACGAGAGAAAAAACAGUCCUUUUCCGUCUUAAGUCUUAAAAACAAAAAAGUUCUUCCUCUCAUCCAUUAACCCUAAAUCUUAAAAUUCCCAAAAAUAAAUGUUAAAGCCGCAAACUCUUCUCACACAAAUCCUAAGGCUUCUCCUUCUUCCCAAAUUCCUCUAUCUCUCUCUGUUUUUCUCUCUCUAUCUCUUUUGAAGAAUAUGAAUUCGGCAUCUUUAGAUGAAGUUGAGAUCUGCUGGAGCAAGAGAACCCAAGCUUCCCGUCGAAGCUCCUUCCUCUUCGGGUAUCACAAUCGAUGUUAUAGGAAAAACCACCAACGACGCUUCCGCUUCCCUCCGAUUCAAAUUCUGGAUCUGAGAUUGAUUACGACUCUGAGCGAGCUUGGUGGUGGUGGGUUUGAGACCAAAGAUUUCUCUAAUUAAUGGAAGCCAAGUAGUCACCCUCGGUGUAUCAAGAUCUUGGUUUCGGACUAUAUACCAACUUACCAAGUGUUCCCAUCUGUUGGAGCUUGUUGAAGAAUAAUAAAUCCUGCUGAUUUUGAUCCAAGGUCUGCUAAUUCGCAUAUUACCAAUUCAGUGACUCUUGGUUCCAAAUUCGUUUUGGUGGUCAUAGUCUUCUUUAGUCAUGGUUUGGUUCUAAGCGAUGUUCUUCACGAAGUGGUCAACAGAGCAGACGAUGGUGGUAUCACACCUCUUCAUAAUGAAUCUAUUGAUCGAUAAGGGGGCCUGUUUUAGCUGCCAUGAACUCCAACGAGUUUGUUCUUCUCUCUAUUUCUCCGCCUGUAAGAUGGCUGCAAGAUAGGAAGCCAAAAUCACAUCUGCUUUGAAGUCCCAGAUUGAAUAGCUACAACAGGAGAGGGAUGGAUUUCAAAGGAUGGUGAUUGGAAACCAAGUUUGUAAACACUUUAAAUCCAUUUUCCUGUUCUUCAUAUCUCUUGUUUAAUCCUUUGUAACAUUUGCGAAUUCACCAACCUUAGGAAAGUAAGAGUUUUACCAUUGCUUAUGACCGAUUCAAUUUUAUUAUGCUGACACUCUUUUAUUUUUCCCACUUACAGUUACUAUAAGGUGAUCUGCUGAUGGUAUGAGUGGAGAUCUACUAGGGCUGCUUCGGUUUCUUUAUUACUUGGUUUGGUGAAGAAAUGUACCUUCUUUUUCUUUAUGACUUGGUUGGUGAUUCAAGCACUUGUAUCUUUUGGGUAUUUGAUAGAAUGAUUCUAUGUAAAAUGUAUGUUUUAUAAAUUUAAUGUAGUAUUAAUUUUAUUUA